AAUCUUCCACAAUGGACGAAAGUCUGAUGGAGCAACGCCGCGUGAGUGAAGAAGGUUUUCGGAUCGUAAAGCUCUGUUGUAAGGGAAGAACAAGUACAGGAGUCACUGUCUGUACCUUGACGGUACUUUACCAGAAAGCCACGGCUAACUACGUGCCAGCAGCCGCGGUAAUACGUAGGUGGCAAGCGUUGUCCGGAAUUAGUGGGCGUAAAGCGCGCGGAGGCGGUCCUUUAAGUCUAGUGUGAAAGCACACGGCGCAACCGUGGAGGGUCAUUGGAAACUGGAGGACUUGAGUACAGAAGAGGAAAGCGGAAUUCAACGUGUAGCGGUGAAAUGCGUAGAGAUGUGGAGGAACACAAGUGGCGAAGGCGGCUUUCUGGUCUGUAACUGACGCUGAGGCGCGAAAGCGUGGGGAGCAAACA
rnacentral:rRNA from 1 species